GAUUUAGGUUGACCAAAGACCUUCAAAGUCUUUAGCGAGGGUGAGACACCAUCAAUUUCCGUAGGACUUG
rnacentral:tRNA from 1 species